CGGGGAGGGGACUGCCAUCACAUGUGGCUUCCUUCCUCCCCUGCUGCCCCUCACCAUAGCCUCACUGGGGGUGGGUGAUGGGGCGGCCCCUUGCCCAGCGUUGGGCAGGAGUGGUGGCUGCGGGGCGGGGAUCACAGGCCCCUGUGCUGGUGGA